CAGUCGCCGCGGUAAUACGAAGGGUGCAAGCGUUAAUCGGAAUUACUGGGCGUAAAGCGUGCGUAGGCGGUUUGUUAAGUCUGUUGUGAAAUCCCCGGGCUCAACCUGGGAAUGGCAAUGGAUACUGGCAAGCUAGAGUGUGUCAGAGGAUGGUGGAAUUCCCGGUGUAGCGGUGAAAUGCGUAGAGAUCGGGAGGAACAUCAGUGGCGAAGGCGGCCAUCUGGGACAACACUGACGCUGAGGCACGAAAGCGUGGGGAGCAAACAGGAUUAGAUACCCCAGUAGUCCCUUGUCUCUUAUA
rnacentral:rRNA from 1 species